AACUAAACAUAGCCCCUCUCCCAUAUUAUAAAACUAUUACUCAUAAUAAAAUAAAACAUUAUACACAAUUAAAGUAUAGGUGAUAGAAAUUAACAUUCGGCGCAAUAGAGAAAGUACCGUAAGGGAAAUUUGAAAGAAAACUUAAAAGUAAGAAACAGCAAAGAUUACCCCUUGUACCUUUUGCAUAAUGAUUUAACCAGACUACCUUUAGCAAAAAGCAUUUAAGUUAAAUACCCCGAAACCAGACGAGCUACCUACUAACAGCUAAAAUGAGCAAACUCAUCUAUGUGGCAAAAUAGUGAGACGAUUAUUAGGUAGAGGCGAUAAACCUAACGAGCCUGGUGAUAGCUGGUUGUCCAGAAAAGAAUUUUAGUUCAAACUUAACUAUACCAACUGAAUGUUACGAAUCAUAAUGUAUGCUUAAGUAAUAGUCUAAAAAGGUACAGCUUUUUAGACCAGGGAUACAACCCCUACUAGAGAGAAAAAUUCCUAAACCACUAUAGUUGGCCUAAAAGCAGCCACCAAACAAGAUAGCGUUAAAGCUCAACAGUAAAAUAAUACUAAUACUGCCUAUAAUAUUAACUCCUAAUAUAAAACUGGACUAUUCUAUUUAAUUAUAGAAGUAAUAAUGUUAAUAUGAGUAACAAGAAAUAUUUCUCCUUGCACACGUGUAUAUCAGAACGAAUAAAUCACUAAUAUUUAACAAGUACCAAAUUACCCAAUCCCAAGCUCAACUAUUAAUUGUUAAUCCAACACUGGAGUGCAUUAAAGGAAAGAUUAAAAGAAGUAAAAGGAACUCGGCAAACACAAAUCCCGCCUGUUUACCAAAAACAUCACCUCUAGCAUAAAAAGUAUUAGAGGCACCGCCUGCCCGGUGACUUUAGUUUAACGGCCGCGGUAUCCUGACCGUGCAAAGGUAGCAUAAUCACUUGUUCCCUAAAUAGGGACUAGCAUGAACGGCUCAACGAGGAUUUCACUGUCUCUUACUUCCAAUCAGUGAAAUUGAUAUUCCCGUGAAGAAGCUGGAAUAAAAAAAUUAGACGAGAAGACCCUAUGGAGCUUUAAUUAAUCAGCCUACUAUCAAUUACAUAAUAUUCACAAGAAACAACCACUUAAUAAUUAGGCUGACAAUUUGGGUUGGGGUGACCUCGGAAUAAAAAAUAACUCCCGAAGAAAAAAAAAUAAUAAGACUGACAAGUCAAAAACACUUUCCCACUGAUCCGUCUAAUAACGAUCAACGAAACAAGUUACCCUAGGGAUAACAGCGCAAUCCUAUUUAAGAGUUCAUAUCGACAAUUAGGGUUUACGACCUCGAUGUUGGAUCAGGACAUCCCAAUGGUGCAAAAGCUAUUAAUGUGUUCGUUUGUUCAACGAUUAAAGUCCUACGUGAUCUGAGUUCAGACCGGAGUAAUCCAGGUCGGUUUCUAUCUAUUAAUAUGUCUCUCCCAGUACGAAAGGACAAGAGAGACGAGGCCUACUUAAAAUAAGCGCCUUACUAUAUAAAAUGAAUUAAUCUCAAUUUCUUAUAACAAUUCACUCACCCUAGAUAAGGGUUA
rnacentral:rRNA from 1 species